CCUACGGAGGGCAGCAGUGAGGAAUAUUGGUCCAUGGACGAGAGUCUGAACCAGCCAAGUAGCGUGAAGGAUGACUGCCCUCUGGGUUGUCACCUUCUUUUAUAUGGGUAUAAAAUGUUCCUCGUUCGGGAUUUUGUAUGUACCAUAUGCAUAAGGAUAGGCUAACUCCGUGCCAGCAGCCAAGGUAAUACGGAGGUUCCUAGCGUUAUACGGAUUUAUUGGGUGUAAAGGGAGCGUAGGUGGAUUGUUAAGUCAGUUGUGAAAGUUUGCGGCUCAACCGUAGAAUUGCAGUUGAAACUGGAAGGCUUGAGUACAGUAGAGGUGGGCGGAAUGUGUGGUGUAGCGGUGAAAUGCUUAGAUAUCACGAAGAACUCCGAUUGCGAAGGCAGUUCACUGGACUGCAACUGACACUGAGGCUCGAAAGUGUGGGUAUCAAACAGGAUUAGAUACCCGAGUAGUC
rnacentral:rRNA from 1 species